GGGAUCUGUGAUGACCACUGGAGGUGUAUGAGUCCUGGAUCCAUGACUACAGGCCUGGAAAUCUGAGGUCCAC
ensembl:snoRNA